UACGUAGGGCGCAAGCGUUGUCCGGAAUUAUUGGGCGUAAAGAGCUCGUAGGCGGUUUGUCGCGUCUGGUGUGAAAACUCAAGGCUCAACCUUGAGCUUGCAUCGGGUACGGGCAGACUAGAGUGUGGUAGGGGGUGACUGGAAUUCCUGGUGUAGCGGUGGAAUGCGCAGAUAUCAGGAGGAACACCGAUGGCGAAGGCAGGUCACUGGGCCACUACUGACGCUGAGGAGCGAAAGCAUGGGGAGCGAAUGGG
rnacentral:rRNA from 1 species